rnacentral:lncRNA from 1 species
AUGUCUGGAGGAUGCACGGUUCAAGAUUUAAAGACAGCAGCUGUUCAAGGAGUUUGCUCAGUUUCAGCUCUCAUGCUAUGGAAGUUGGUGUUCAACAAAACUGAGCUCUUGAAGCUUGUCGAAAUAAUCAGCAUGUCACAGAUGUGCCUGAGCACACUGAGAUCUCUCCUCCUGGUCUUGUGGUUACCAUCAGUGACACCUUCAGUCUCGCCACUUCCCAGCAGAGCCUGGCCUUCCUCGGCAGCAUUUCUGGUAAAUUUCCCCUUUUUUGCGGUGUCAAUCAAACGGGACAGACAAUGGACGGUGAACUUUCUGUCCCUUUUUCUCAAUGGGUGUUACUUUUUCUCAUUUCUGCAACACUUUGAUCAGUUUGGCUAAUUAACCAUGCUGACAUAAUAGCGGACAAAAAAAAUUGAAAAGUACAAGGCGUCCUCAGGAAGUGAGUCUUCACGUGGGGUCUGACUGAAAAAUGAGGAAGACCCCCUGAGGAUGGCUGGCUGACCUGAGGUCACACACAUUUAUUCCCCCUGCAGUUAAUAAAUUCUCUUUUUUAGUGUUACAUCAGUACUUUAAAAUAGUUUUGUUCCAGGGACAGGAAGAAAAUGCCUGACCUUUAGCUAAUAAUGCUCAAUACUACAGUACUAUGAUGACACGCUAAUAAGAAACUCUUACAUUUAUCUUCCUCAUUAUGUACAGUUAAAUAGUUAAACGUUGGUGAAUAUGUAGUAUCUUGUUAAAAAAAACAGCAGAUUUUAUUAAUCAUCUUAAAGUGGCUAAAUCUUUUCUUACAAGACAUUUAAUGAGACAGCC